UUCCGGUUGAUCCUGCCGGAGGCCAUUGCUAUCGGAGUCCGAUUUAGCCAUGCUAGUCGCGCGGGUUUAGACCCGCGGCAUAUAGCUCAGUAACACGUGGCCAAACUACCCUACAGACCGCAAUAACCUCGGGAAACUGAGGCCAAUAGCGGAUAUCACUCUCAUGCUGGAGUGCCGAGAGUGAGAAACGUUCCGGCGCUGUAGGAUGUGGCUGCGGCCGAUUAGGUAGAUGGUGGGGUAACGGCCCACCAUGCCCAUAAUCGGUACAGGUUGUGACAGCAAGAGCCUGGAGACGGUAUCUGAGACAAGAUACCGGGCCCUACGGGGCGCAGCAGGCGCGAAACCUUUACACUGCACGACAGUGCGAUAGGGGGACUCCGAGUGCGAGGGCAUAUAGUCCUCGCUUUUCUGAACCGUAAGGUGGUUCAGGAACAAGUGCUGGGCAAGACCGGUGCCAGCCGCCGCGGU
rnacentral:rRNA from 1 species